GAAUCUGUCCAUCGGUCGAGCUUCACUGUUCGUACUGGUGUGGUGGGUUCUUACCUUCUGAAUAACCAGCAUGCCAUUCACUUGGUGCGUUGGGGAAGCAGGACUAUUACCUUGAAAAAAUUAGAGUGCUCAAAGCAGGCCAGCGCCUGAAUACAUUAGCAUGGAAUAAUAAAAUAGGACGGCUUGGUUCUAUUUUGUUGGUUUCUAGAGUCGCCGUA
rnacentral:rRNA from 1 species